rnacentral:rRNA from 1 species
AGAGUUUGAUCAUGGCUCAGAUUGAACGCUGGCGGCAGGCCUAACACAUGCAAGUCGAGCGGAAACGAGUUAACUGAACCUUCGGGGGACGUUAACGGCGUCGAGCGGCGGACGGGUGAGUAAUGCCUAGGAAAUUGCCCUGAUGUGGGGGAUAACCAUUGGAAACGAUGGCUAAUACCGCAUGAUGCCUACGGGCCAAAGAGGGGGACCUUCGGGCCUCUCGCGUCAGGAUAUGCCUAGGUGGGAUUAGCUAGUUGGUGAGGUAAGGGCUCACCAAGGCGACGAUCCCUAGCUGGUCUGAGAGGAUGAUCAGCCACACUGGAACUGAGACACGGUCCAGACUCCUACGGGAGGCAGCAGUGGGGAAUAUUGCACAAUGGGCGCAAGCCUGAUGCAGCCAUGCCGCGUGUGUGAAGAAGGCCUUCGGGUUGUAAAGCACUUUCAGUCGUGAGGAAGGUAGUGUAGUUAAUAGCUGCAUUAUUUGACGUUAGCGACAGAAGAAGCACCGGCUAACUCCGUGCCAGCAGCCGCGGUAAUACGGAGGGUGCGAGCGUUAAUCGGAAUUACUGGGCGUAAAGCGCAUGCAGGUGGUUUGUUAAGUCAGAUGUGAAAGCCCGGGGCUCAACCUCGGAAUAGCAUUUGAAACUGGCAGACUAGAGUACUGUAGAGGGGGGUAGAAUUUCAGGUGUAGCGGUGAAAUGCGUAGAGAUCUGAAGGAAUACCGGUGGCGAAGGCGGCCCCCUGGACAGAUACUGACACUCAGAUGCGAAAGCGUGGGGAGCAAACAGGAUUAGAUACCCUGGUAGUCCACGCCGUAAACGAUGUCUACUUGGAGGUUGUGGCCUUGAGCCGUGGCUUUCGGAGCUAACGCGUUAAGUAGACCGCCUGGGGAGUACGGUCGCAAGAUUAAAACUCAAAUGAAUUGACGGGGGCCCGCACAAGCGGUGGAGCAUGUGGUUUAAUUCGAUGCAACGCGAAGAACCUUACCUACUCUUGACAUCCAGAGAACUUUUCAGAGAUGAAUUGGUGCCUUCGGGAACUCUGAGACAGGUGCUGCAUGGCUGUCGUCAGCUCGUGUUGUGAAAUGUUGGGUUAAGUCCCGCAACGAGCGCAACCCUUAUCCUUGUUUGCCAGCGAGUAAUGUCGGGAACUCCAGGGAGACUGCCGGUGAUAAACCGGAGGAAGGUGGGGACGACGUCAAGUCAUCAUGGCCCUUACGAGUAGGGCUACACACGUGCUACAAUGGCGCAUACAGAGGGCGGCCAACUUGCGAAAGUGAGCGAAUCCCAAAAAGUGCGUCGUAGUCCGGAUUGGAGUCUGCAACUCGACUCCAUGAAGUCGGAAUCGCUAGUAAUCGUGGAUCAGAAUGCCACGGUGAAUACGUUCCCGGGCCUUGUACACACCGCCCGUCACACCAUGGGAGUGGGCUGCAAAAGAAGUAGGUAGUUUAACCUUCGGGGGGACGCUUACCACUUUGUGGUUCAUGACUGGGGUGAAGUCGUAACAAGGUAGCGCUAGGGGAACCUGGCGCUG